rnacentral:rRNA from 1 species
UAUCGGAAUGGGUACCAUUUAAACCCUUUAACGAGGACCUAUGAGAGGGCAAGUCUGGUGUCAGCAGCCGCGGUAAUUCCAGCUCUCAAGGUGUAUAUCGCCCUUGCUGCGGUUAAAAAGCUCGUAGUUGGAUCUGCGCCUUCGGACUCGGUCCGCCCAACGGGUGUGAACUGGGAUCCAAGGCUUAUACUGCUGGUUUUCCCUUGAUGCUCUUUACUGGGUGUCUUGGGUGGCUAGCGAGUUUACUUUGAAAAAAUUAGAGUGCUUAACACAGGCUAACGCCUGAAUACUCGUGCAUGGAAUAAUAGAAUAAGACCACGGUUCUAUUUUAUUGGUUUUCGGAACUGUGAUAAUGGUUAAGAGGGACAGACGGGGGCAUUCGUAUCGCUGCGUGAGAGGUGAAAUUCUUGGACCGCAGCGAGACGCCCUACUGCGAAAGCAUUUGCCAAGAAUGUCUUCGUUAAUCAAGAACGAAAGUCAGAGGUUCGAAGGCGAUCAGAUACCGCCCUAGUUCUGACCGUAAACGAUGCCAACUAGCGAUCCGCCGGUGGUAAUUACGCCCCGGCGGGGAGCUUCCCGGAAACGAAAGUCUUCCGGUUCCGGGGGAAGUAUGGUUGCAAAGCUGAAACUUAAAGGAAUUGACGGAAGGGCACCACCAGGAGUGGAGCCUGCGGCUUAAUUUGACUCAACACGGGAAAACUCACCCGGCCCGGACACCGUAAGGAUUGACAGAUUGAGAGCUCUUUCUUGAUUCGGUGGUUGGUGGUGCAUGGCCGUUCUUAGUUGGUGGAGCGAUUUGUCUGGUUUAUUCCGAUAACGAACGAGACUCUGGCCUACUAAAUAGAGACAGAAUUAUUACUGUUCUGGAUUCUUCUUAGAGGGACAAGUGGUUUUCAGCCACACGAAAUUGAGCAAUAACAGGUCUGUUAUGCCCAAUCACUAGU